GGUCGCUUAGCUCAGCUGGUUAGAGUACCACGUUGACAUCGUGGGGGUCACUGGUUCGAAUCCAGUAGCGACCACCA
rnacentral:tRNA from 1 species